rnacentral:rRNA from 1 species
AGAUUGAACGCUGGCGGCAUGCCUUACACAUGCAAGUCGAACGGCAGCACGGGAGCAAUCCUGGUGGCGAGUGGCGAACGGGUGAGUAAUAUAUCGGAACGUGCCCAGUCGUGGGGGAUAACGUAGAGAAAUUUACGCUAAUACCGCAUACGAUCCAAGGAUGAAAGCGGGGGACCUAAGGCCUCGGCGCGACUGGAGCGGCUGGAUAUCAGAUUAGCUUGUUGGUGAGGUAAAAGCUCACCAAGGCGACGAUCUGUAGCUGGUUUGAGAGAACGACCAGCCACACUGGGACUGAGACACGGCCCAGACUCCGUACGGAGCAGCAGUGGGAAUUUUGGAACAGUGGGACAAAGCCGUGAUCC